rnacentral:lncRNA from 1 species
UUUUUUUUUUUUUGCUGAGAAAAACAGUGUUCAUUGUGGGAGAUGCACAAGCCUCAUAUGUGCAGAUCUUUCCUUUUCUCUUCUUCCCUCCCUCUCCUUCUACCUUUCCUCUUUCCCUUGUUUCCUCCUUCCCUCUCUUCUUUGUUUCCUUUUUCUCUUUCUGUCACUUGUUUUCUAAGCUCAUAUCGAAUUAUCACUUCUGUAUUUACUAGAUAUUAAACACUGUGCCUUCUUCAUAAUUACGCAUUGAUUGGAUAAGUCCAAGUACAUAUGAAAGAAAAAAGCUCUACAGUGAUAUUUUUUCCUUAUUGAACUUUACAUAGACGUAUGUGAACUGAUCCUAAUGAAAAAACAAUGAUUCCAAAAGUUAGUUAUUUAGGGCAGCAAUAUUGCAGCCAAGAUGAAUUGAAGUAAAUAAUACUGCUACCCUUAUGUAUCACCAACUUUUGUUUCUAUGUUGACUGAACUUUUGAAGUCUGGUCUUCACGUUUUAUCAUGGCAUUUCUGAGUCUAGCAGAAAAAAAGCCUUUCCUUUCCUGUUCACAUAUAUCAUCUUCAGAAUUUCAUCUAGUGUCAUAAUCGUAGGCAUUUAAUCUAGUGUCAUAAACUCUGAUAUUCUGAGAAUUCUAAAGGAAGUGAAUGCUCAUGGAGCCGAGUGUAGCCAGAGUGUGAGAUGUGCAGGUCCCUGUAUAUAAGGUGUUCAUCUGGAGCUCUGAUGCUACAGGACACACAUCAUUCCAUGUGUAGCCAUGACAGGCAGAUGCUAAAGUUUCCUUCCCAAAGCACUUUCCAGUUUCAUAUGAAUCUCCAGAAAACUCCAAUCUUAGGUGCAUUCUUUCAGGAAAGAUAAAAGAGGCCCUUUUAUCUUUUUGGUUUGCAACCAGAAAAUAUUAUAUUCGUUUGCAGCAAGGUGGCAAUGAGUCCUAUCCUCUGCAAAAUGUACUGUAACACUAUCAAGUAAGGGCUAAGACAAGGCACACAAUUGUAAAUUGUUUCCAGGUAAUAUUUUGCAGAGUAUCUCAGUAAAGCCUUUGGUUUUGCAUCAGCUGACUCAGAAUCACUUCUGAAAUAUACAUCUUCCCUUUCAUCUUCCUCUCAUAUUGAAAAUGCUGGAAAAAAAUAAGCUUGUCCUAUAUUUGUUUGAUAGGUCUCUGACAUUAACUUUCUCUGGUUCUUACUAAGGAAAACAUGAAAUGCAGUUGUUUCUAUGUGCUGAAAUAUGCAUGUACUGAACACCCAACAUAGGGGUAUUAAAAUGUAUUUUAGAUUUAUAGCCUUCAUUUAGAAAUGUAUUACUUAAAACUUCACUGUGAAGAACUUUUUAGGAUUCCUCAGCCAUGUGUGUGCUCCAUUAUCUAUAAGACUAUUGAAUCUUUCCAUUAAACAUGCUCUCCCAUUUAUUAUUUUUUACUAUUCCUUCCUUCAUUGUUUAUAGAUUUGGAGCUAUCAAAUGGCAGCAACUAUGCUGUGUCCAAAGAGAGAACCGAACUAAAUCAGAAAAAGUAUUUGCUUCCCCCCUACCCUCCGAAUCUGACAGUCUGGUGAGAGAGAUGCAAUCCAAUGUUUCAUAACCAGAUAUAAAGCCACAUUCACUGUUGGAAGAAGUAUGUGGCUCAAAGAGAAGUGUAUGAAAAGGGUUCCACCUGGUCAAGAAGAUCAAGAUGGUGUCUCCAGAUAAGUGCAUUUUGAAUUGGAGAGAUUCCAGGAAGGGAAGAGUUAAAUAGGUGGUGAGGGAGGGAAAAGUAUUUUAGGCAUAAGGAACAGUAUUUAUUCAAUUUCAGAAGUUGUUUCUGAGGUAACAUGGAGGCAACAUCUGUGUUUGUCGUACAUUUUUUCUUUUUAAAAUUUAGAUACAAUUGACAUAUAAAGUAUUAGUUUUAUAUGUAUAACAUAAUGAUGUAUAUAUAAAAUAUUAUAGCAAAAUGAUCACCACAAUAAGUUUAUCUACCCAUCACUACAUAUAGUUACAAUUUCUUUUUCUUGUGAGAACUUUUAAGAUCUACUCUCUUAAUGGCUUUCAAAUAUAUAAUACAGUAUUGAUAACUAUAGUCACCAUGCCAUAUAUGACAUCUCCUGCAAGUUAGUCCUACAUUUAAAGCUCAGUUUCUAUUCCAUCCAACUGAGUGGCCUUAGAAAAUUUUCAUUUUUUUAUCCAAGGAUAAAAUGUACCUCUAUGGCCUGUUUUAAGAUUGUAAUUAAGCUUAAAUUACAGAGGAUUCAUUAAAUUAAAAAUAUAUUCAUUUACUAAAAAUUUUGUUUCAUCUUUGCCUUUCUUUUGGUCUUCUUUCUUACUUUAUUUCUACCCACUUUUCUAGACAUAAGCCUCUACCAUUAGCCAUUAGGAAAAAAUGGGAUAAGAAAUCAAGAAGUAUGCCAUCCUGCCAUAGGAUAUUGAAGAAAGAUUUUGAAGGCAAGCCUCUCAAUUUUUCAACAUCUGUUUUGUUCUAUUCAUUUACAAUCAUCUUUUUCUUUUUCCUAGCACUUUAGAGUAUUCAACCCAGUAGCCUUUGAAAAGCAUGAUUUAUCUUGUUUAUCUUAUUAUAGUUGUUGUCCUUUAAAGAUAUAAGGUUGUGGUCUAUUGGUUGUAUCAAGGAUUCCAGUUCUUCACUCUUCUCUGUUGUGAUGCCUUUGGUCACAUGACUUUGCAGGCUUUCUUACUGUAGGGGUGGAGUUAUUGCCCUAUCCCUUGGAUCUUAGCUGGACUUGGAACUUGCUUUGGCUAAUGAGAUGUCAGCAAAGAUAGCACAGCAGAGGCUGGGAAAAGCCUUUGUGUAUUUCUGCCUGCCUUUGCUCUUCUGCAACUGUCAUGAGAACAGGCCCAGGCUAGCCUCUUGGAAGGUGAGGCAGGUGGAGGGAAGCCAGAUCAUCCCACUUGUCCUGGCUGAUGCCAUCCUCAUCGGCAACAGCUGGGAGAACCUGAGCCAGAAGUGUCCGGCCAAGCCCAGUCCAGCCCACCAGAGUCAAUGACCUGGAGACUUAGGAGCAAAACAUGCUUGUUGUUUUAUGCCACUGGAGUUUUGGGUGGCAUACUGUGCAGCAUUAUUGUGGCUGUAGAAAACUGAACUAGGAGGAAAUUCUUGUUUGUAACUUUAUAAUUUCUUCAUAAUUUCCUUCAAGGGUCCAUAUUUGAUUUUCCAGUGAAAGUUAAUAAGAAAACUAUAAAGUAGGUAUUUGGCUCCUAGUGGCUUUUUAGGAGGCUUUAUAUUCUGUGGAGUAUGGUGUCCCUAUAGUUAUUCAUUGAAAGUUUAGGGGGAAAACUCCCUUUUUUUUCUAUAAAUAUAGUAAAUACACAGUUUGUUCCAAUAAAAUGUGUUUUCUUUAUGAAGAAAUUCAGAUAACCACGUGAGUAUGGUCUAAAAAUGAAAAUGCCAUGUGAAAAAAGCAUGGCCAUUCCCUUUAUUAUGACAAGUACACAAAACUAUGCUGGUUUGAAGUUUUCUUGUAUGUAAACUCAUGUUGGUUUUAUUAGUUGUAAAGAAAGUUUUUCAUAUGCCUACUCUUUAGAAAUGUGCCUGCCUUCUUAGGCAUGGAAAUGUGACUACAAUGCCAAGUUUGACAGCUGAUUCUGGAUAACCACUUAAUUCCAUGUUUCUGAAAGGAAGUGACUCUAAAAGCAAACAAAUGGGAAUGCCUUGAGUUAUAAAAAUUAGGGUGCUGUGCACAAGAUCACAUAGUGUGAUGUACAUUUUUAACUGGUUUAUAUUAAAGGAAGUUGUGAGGUUACCAAGAGAACUUUAGAUGUAAUUUGGAUUGUUUUUCCUAGCUACUCAUGUGUAUCUUGCCUUCUCUCUAUCCAAAGUUCACAAAGUGGGAAAACUGCCUAGCCAGUAAAGCUCCCCAGUCUUGGGGGAAAAGGUUGCAGAAUGGGAGUAUGGUAGAAAGAAGCCAUGGGCAUGAGAGAGGCCCUGACCUCUGAGGAAUGCUUUAUUCUAAUACAGUUCAUACUAUGGAGGUCAUAGCAACUGAUUGUAUAAAAGUAACCUGUUUUUCAGAUUAAUUCCUUUCAUCCAGCACACCGUCUCUGUGGAUGUACAGCUAUUUACAAUGUCUUCUGUUAGUCAAAGAUUUACUUUCAUCUUUACAUAAUAUUGAAAUGAUUAUUUCAUGAUUAUCCACAUAUUGGAAUACUGUACAUUCAGAAUGAUACCUUUAAAGAAAAUUUUAAUGACUUGAAAAAAAUGCUUUAUGAUGUAGAUGGAAAAGGCCAGUUUUAAAACUGCACAUGUGAUAUAGUCAUAAUUAUAUGCAGGGGCAAUUUAUCUAUUUGUGAUAUGAAAUAUACCUGAAAGAAGUAAUCCAGAGUGCUUACCUCCAUGGGAUGGAUUUAUGAUAGUUUUAUUAAUUUUCUUCACACUUUUUUUAUUUUACAGUUUUAAAAAGUGACUGUAUAAGAAUUGAUGACUUGAUGAUUAGAGAAAUUAACAUAUUAAUGAAAAUAAAUUGGUUUAUAAACACUUUGGGGACGAAGAAUGUGUCUUAUUUUUUGACAAAUCCAAGCACUCCAGCACCCAGUGCUUGGAAGGCUGUAGGGUAAAAAUGAAACAUCCUUGAUGAAUGAAAAGGAGAUCUUAGAUAAGGGCUCAGUUGGCUGAAUAGGGCUUAGGUUUAUAAAGCAGAACACCAAGGCUAUUUUAAGGUGCAGUUAUAAGAAAGCAGCGAUUCUGUUUCUUUAAUAGGCAUUGCCAUCCUUAUCCUAGAAUACCAGGAGCUACCUGAGAUCUGGGAACUAUUUUUUCAUCAGUUGACAACCUUUGAAUUAUUUCUUAAUUGUUUGUGUUUUGUUUUUUUCUGUUGUUAUUCAGGUAUAAUUAUUUCUGAAUGAAGCCUUUGCUUAGAGUAAUAGUAAUCUAAUGAGUAUGUGACCUUAGAGAGACUACAGAUGAAAAAAGAAGCAUUUUUUUCCUGUUUUGAUGAAAACCUCAUUCUUUUCCUGCGAGAAGUCUUCCUUGAUUGCUGCAGCUACUAUUCUGCUCAACUCUCUUCACUAUAUACUGUCUUUCAGCCAAAAGCAAUACAAAACACAAACUUGGUCUUCCAUUCCUUCAUCUUGGUAGUGUUCCCCAGGCAGGAACCCUUGCAUAGAGCUUUAUUUACUUUUCCACUACAGAGUGAAAGCUCUGUGGUGGACAGACAUGCACACAGUUGCUAACUAUGCACUGGGCACUGUUCUAAGCUCUCAGCAUUGAAGAUUUGGAGUUCUCUUUUGGUGCAGCAGGUUAAGUAUCCAGCAUUGUCACUGCAGCAGCUCAGGUCAGGUUAUGGUUCAGGUUCUAUCCCUGGCCCAGGAACUUCCACUUUCUGUGAGUGUGGAAAAAAAAAAAAAAGAGUCUGGAGUUCCCACGGUGGCUUAGUGGGUUAAGGACCCAGUGUAGUCUCUGUGAAGAUGCAGGUUCAAUCCCUGGCCUCACUCAGUGAGUUAAGGAUCCAGUGUUGCUGUAAGCUGUGACAUAGGUCAAAGGUGUGGCUCAAAUCUGCUGUUGCUGUGGCUGUGGUGUAGGCCUGCAGCUGCAAGUUUAAUUUGACACCUAGUCUGGGAGCUUCCAUAUGCUGCAGGUGCAGCUGUAAGGGGAAAAAAAUAAAUAAAAAAGAUUGGCUUAUUCAGUCUUUAAGCCAUUUUGAGUUUAUUUUUGUGCAUGGUGUGAAGGUGUGUUCUAGUUUCAUUGAUUUACAUGCAGCUGUCCAGUUUUCCCAGAGUCACUUACUGAAGAGACUGUUUUUUUCCUAUUUUAUAUUCUUGCCUUCUUUGUCAAAGAUUAAUUAACCGUAGGUGACUGGGUUUAUUUCUGGGUUCUCUAUUCUGUUCCAUUGGUCUACAUGUCUGUUUUCAUACCAGUACCACACUGUCUUGACUACUGUAGCUUUGUAAUAUUGUCUAAAGUCUGAGAGAGUUAUGCCUCCUGUUUUAUUUUUUUUACCCCCUUAAGGAUUUCUUUGGCACUUCUGGGUCUUUUAUGGCUCCAUAUACAUUUUUGGAUUGCUUGUUCUAGUUCUGUAUAAAGUAUCAUGGGUUAUUUGAUAAGAAUGGCCUUAAAUCUGUAGAUUGCUUCAAGUAGUAUGGCCAUUUUAAUGAUACUAACUAUUACAAACCAGGAGCAUGGAAUAUCUUUCUAUUUUUUUGAAUCCUCAUUAAUUUCCUUGAUUAAUAUUUUAUAGUUCUCAGCAUAUAAGUCUUUCAGGAACAAACCUCCUUGGUCAGGUUUAUUCCUAGGUAUUAAAUUCUUUUGGGUGCAAUCUUAAAAGGUAUUGUAUUUUUAAAAUUCCUUUUAUAGUAUUUCACUGUUAGUAUAUAGAAAUAUAACUGAUUUCUCAAUGUUAGUCUUGUAUCCUGCCACUUUUCUGAUUUCGUUGAUCAGUUCAAAUAGCUUUUGGGUGGAGUCCUUAGGGUUUUCAAUGUAUAGUAUCAUGUAUGUGUAUAAAGUGACAAUCAACCAUACAAAUGUUUUCUUAGGUCAGUCUACCAAGGCAAUAGAAAUAUAAACAAAAAUAUACCAAUGGGACCUAAUCAAACUUCCAAGAUUUUGCACACCAAAGGAACCAUGGUGGUGGUGGGGAGACAAUGUAGAGAAUGGGAGAAAAUAGUUGCAAAUGAUGCCACAAGGGUUUAAUCUCCAAAAUAUACAAACAAUUCAUACAACUCAACAGCAAAAAAACCAAGUAACUCAAUUGGGAAAUGGGCAGAAGACCUCAAUAGAUACUUCUCCAAAGAAGACCUACAGAUGGCCAAUAGGCCUAUGAAAAAAUGCUCAACACGACUAAUUAUUAGAGAAAUGCAAAUCAAAGCUAUGAUGAGGUACCACCUCACACUUGUCGGAAUGGCUGUCAUUCAUAAGUCUACAAAUAGCAAAUGCUGGAGAGGGUGUGGAGAAAAGGGAACCUUCCCACGCUGUUGGUGAGAAUAUAAAUUUGUUCAACCACUAUGGAAAACAUUAUGGAGGUAUCCCAGAAAAUUAGAUAUAAACCUACCAUAUGAUCCAGCAAUCCCACUUCUGGGCAUAUAUCCAGACAUAAUUUUCAUUAAAAAAAUAUACACACACUCCUAUUGAAUAAGCAAUGAGGUCCUGCUGUAUAGCACAGGGAACCGUAUACAAUCACCUGUAAUGGAACAUGAUGUAAGAUUAUAUGAGAAAAAGAGUGCAUAUAUAUAGUAUAACUGGGUCACUUUACUGUAUAGCAGAAAUUGACAGAACAUUGUAAAUCAACUAUUAAAAAAAACAAAAACAGAGACUGAAAAGGGAGAAGAGUCAUAAUAUUUGACAAGCUUGAGAGAAAAGUUUGAAAACUUCAUCCUACAUUAAAUGGUAAGUCACAAGCAAAUGAGAUUUAGUUAUUGUUUGAAUUACUCAAGGGAACAUGAGUGGCUGUACCUUUGGGAUGAGUGUAUGUAUGUGGGUAUGUUAAAACACCUUCUCUUGUGUUGUAGGGAGAGGUAAACAUUUCUGUCCAUUUUCUUAACUUUGCAUUUUAGUUUAGUUCCUAUUCUCUGUGUGCAUCAGUUUUCUAAUGCAUGUU